AAUAAAACAACAAAAUCAGAAAUUGCAAAAAAACUAUCUAAUAAAAUACUUCACGCCCUUAUUCAGUAAUGGUUAAGAUUUUAGUAAAAAAAAUAAAUUAUAAACAUAAAGAUCUGCCUAAAUAUGAAACAGUAGGCUCUUCUGGUUUAGAUUUAAUUGCUAAUAUUGAUAAAGAAAUAAUAUUAAAGCCUAAUGAGCGAACAUUAGUACCGACUGGUUUAUCUGUAGCCAUCCCUGAAAAUUAUGAAAUACAAGUAAGACCAAGAUCGGGACUUGCGGCAAAGAAUGGAAUUAGCGUUUUAAAUACACCUGGAACAGUGGAUGCUGAUUAUCGAGGUGAAAUUAAAAUCAUAUUAAUAAACUUAAGUUUAGAAAAUUUUAAAAUUGAACCAGGACAAAGAAUUGCACAGAUGGUGCUUUGCCCUGUUGUAAAAGCUGAAUUAGUUGAGGUUGAUACACUUCCUGAAUCGGUUCGUGGAAGCGGUGGAUUUGGUUCAACCGGCCGAUAAAUAUUCAUGAAACUUAGUUAUGAUGAUGUCAAAAGAUACAUUGCUCAUAUCAAUUUAAAAAAAAUCGGCAGCUUUGGUCAAAAGAAAAUCAUCGAUACAAAAGUUCUCAUUAUAGGCACUGGCAGGUUAAACCGGGAAUGGUGGAGCCAUAGCGAAAGCGAGUCUGAAUAGGGCGACCGUCAGUGUUUAUAGACCCGAACCCGGGUGAUCUAACCAUGGCCAGGAUGAAGCUUGGGUGAUACCAAGUGGAGGUCCGAACCGACUGAUGUUGAAAAAUCAGCGGAUGAGCUGUGGUUAGGGGUGAAAUGCCAAUCGAACCCGGAGCUAGCUGGUUCUCCCCGAAAUACGUUGAGGCGUAGCGUCUAGUGCUCCAGCAGGGGGGUAAAGCCACCGUUUCGGUGCGGGCUGCGAGAGCGGUACCAAAUCGAGACGAACUCUGAAUACCCUGUGUGUAACUAGGCAGUCAGACUGUGGGGGAUAAGCUCCAUGGUCGAAAGGGAAACAGCCCAGACCGCCAGCUAAGGUCCCCAAAUCGAUGCUAAGUGAUAAAGGAGGUGGGAUUGCCCAGACAACCAGGAGGUUUGCCUAGAAGCAGCCAUCCUCAAAGGAGUGCGUAAUAGCUCACUGGUCGAGCGAUCCUGCGCCGAAAAUGAACGGGGCUAAGCAUCGUACCGAAGCUGCGGAUUAAACUUGUUUAAUGGUAGGGGAGCGUUCCAUGUGGGGUGAAGCGUUAGCGUAAGCGGGCGUGGACUGCAUGGAAGUGAGAAUGUCGGCUUGAGUAGCGAAAACAUGGGUGAGAAUCCCAUGCCCCGAAACCCUAAGGGUUCCUCCGGCAGGCUCGUCCGCGGAGGGUUAGUCAGGACCUAAGGCGAGGCCGAAAGGCGUAGUCGAUGGACAACAGGUCAACAUUCCUGUACCGAUGAUGUUUUGGGAAGGGGGACGGAGAAGGCUAGCCAAGCCAGAUGUUGGUUACUGGUCCAAGCGUUCGAGGCGUUGAGAGCUGGCGAAAACAGCUUGAGCUGAGGCGUGAGUGCGAGCUUCUACGGAAGCGAAGUUGGUGACGUCAAGCUUCCAAGAAAAGCCCUAUACCCGUUAAGGCAUCAUUGCCUGUACCCGAAACCGACACAGGUGGGGUGGUAGAGAAUACCGAGGGGCGCGAGGUAACUCUCUCUAAGGAACUCGGCAAAAUGACCCCGUAACUUCGGGAGAAGGGGUGCCAGCGCAAGCUGGUCGCAGUGAAUAGGCCCAGGCGACUGUUUACCAAAAACACAGGUCUCCGCUAAGUCGCAAGACGAUGUAUGGGGGCUGACGCCUGCCCAGUGCCGGAAGGUUAAGGAAGCUGGUCAGCGUAAGCGAAGCUGGCGACUGAAGCCCCGGUGAACGGCGGCCGUAACUAUAACGGUCCUAAGGUAGCGAAAUUCCUUGUCGGGUAAGUUCCGACCCGCACGAAAGGCGUAACGAUCUGGGCGCUGUCUCGGAGAGAGGCUCGGCGAAAUAGAAUUGUCUGUGAAGAUGCGGACUACGUGCACCCGGACAGAAAGACCCUAUGAAGCUUUACUGUAGCUUGGUAUUGUGCCCGGGCUCUGAAUGCGCAGGAUAGGUGGGAGGCUUUGAUCCAAUGCUUGCGGGUGUUGGUGAGCCACUGGUGAGAUACCACUCUUUCAGAGCUAGGGUUCUAACGGUCACCCGUUAUCCGGGGACCGGACAGUAUCUGGUGGGCAGUUUGACUGGGGCGGUCGCCUCCUAAAAGGUAACGGAGGCGCGCAAAGGUCUGCUCAGGCUGGUUGGAAAUCAGCCGACGAGUGUAAAAGCAGAAGCAGGCUUGACUGUGAGACCUACAAGUCGAACAGGGAGGAAACUCGGCUUUAGUGAUCCGACGGUUCUGAGUGGAAGGGCCGUCGCUCAACGGAUAAAAGUUACUCUAGGAUAACAGGCUGAUCUCCCCCAAGAGUUCACAUCGACGGGGAGGUUUGGCACCUCGAUGUCGGCUCAUCGCAACCUGGGGCUGAAGUCGGUCCCAAGGGUUGGGCUGUUCGCCCAUUAAAGCGGUACGCGAGCUGGGUUCAGAACGUCGUGAGACAGUUCGGUCCAUAUCCGGUGCAUGCGCAGGAAUAUUGAGAGGAUUUCUCCCUAGUACGAGAGGACCGGGAGGAACGCACCUCUGGUGUACCAGUUAUCGUGCCAACGGUAAACGCUGGGUAGCCAUGUGCGGAGUGGAUAACCGCUGAAAGCAUCUAAGUGGGAAGCCCACCUCAAGAUGAGUAUUCCCAUGGCGUUAGCCAGUAAGGUCACGGGCAGAACACCCGUUGA
rnacentral:rRNA from 1 species